rnacentral:rRNA from 1 species
CCUACGGGUGGCAGCAGUCGAGAAUCAUUCACAAUGGGGGAAACCCUGAUGGUGCGACGCCGCGUGGGGGAAUGAAGGUCUUCGGAUUGUAAACCCCUGUCAUGUGGGAGCAAAUUAAAAAGAUAGUACCACAAGAGGAAGAGACGGCUAACUCUGUGCCAGCAGCCGCGGUAAUACAGAGGUCUCAAGCGUUGUUCGGAAUCACUGGGCGUAAAGCGUGCGUAGGCUGUUUCGUAAGUCGUGUGUGAAAGGCGCGGGCUCAACCCGCGGACGGCACAUGAUACUGCGAGACUAGAGUAAGGGAGGGGUAACCGGAAUUCUUGGUGUAGCAGUGAAAUGCGUAGAUAUCGAGAGGAACACUCGUGGCGAAGGCGGGUUCCUGGACAUUAACUGACGCUGAGGCACGAAGGCCAGGGGAGCGAAAGGGAUUAGAUACCCGGGUAGUC